rnacentral:lncRNA from 1 species
GUUUUGUAAAUGCAUGUAUGAAGUUAAUGCAUAAGGGAUGAUGAUAAUGUAAUUGAAAUUUGAAGACCAUUUAUUCUACUAUAUUUGGAAGAGGUUUUGUAAUACAAUAGACACCUUCUUUUAUUCCUUUUUUAUCUAUUCAAAGGACCUGGUGCAGCCACAGAGAGUUAAGAAUUCUUAGAUUUUAAUGGCAGGUGGAUCUCUGGAAAGAUGAAACAGCUUUUGAGGAAGUUUUCAAGAAAGAUCAACCUUAAGGAACUGUUAGCACCUUCAACCACUGGAGCGGUAUCCAGUUAGAGCUUGUGGCCCACUCUUCUUUGAAGUUUCAAGUUACUUUCCUUCUCUGACAUAUGUUGACCAGAUUCAGUAGCUUUGGAUGCAUUUUGCUCUGGGUUCGCCCAGAUAUUCUCCUGUUGUGGCCCAUUGAUUUCUUCUCUGGAUGUUAGGCAAAUAAUGGCUAAGUUGGCAUUUUGAAAAUAAGCUAAUAGUCUCAU